rnacentral:rRNA from 1 species
AGUGAACGCUGGCGGUAGGCCUAACACAUGCAAGUCGAACGGCAGCACAGUAAGAGCUUGCUCUUACGGGUGGCGAGUGGCGGACGGGUGAGGAAUACAUCGGAAUCUACUUUUUCGUGGGGGAUAACGUAGGGAAACUUACGCUAAUACCGCAUACGACCUACGGGUGAAAGCAGGGGAUCUUCGGACCUUGCGCGAUUGAAUGAGCCGAUGUCGGAUUAGCUAGUUGGCGGGGUAAAGGCCCACCAAGGCGACGAUCCGUAGCUGGUCUGAGAGGAUGAUCAGCCAAACUGGAACUGAGAAACGGUCCAGACUCCUACGGGAGGAAGCAGUGGGGAAUAUUGGACAAUGGGCGCAAGCCUGAUCCAGACAUACCGCGUGGGUGAAGAAGGCCUUCGGGUUGUAAAGCCCUUUUGUUGGGAAAGAAAAGCAGCAGGUUAAUACCCCGCUGUUCUGACGGUACCCAAAGAAUAAGCACCGGCUAACUUCGUG